UGUGACCGGCUCACGCAGUUGCGAAAUAUCCAAUACCGGCGACUUCUUCCUCGCUUGGCGCUGCACAGAAUUCGUUCAGCCGGUGCCUCUCAAGACUGGAUUCCUUCUUGACGAUGGCUGCGAGCCACACGUGGUUGGGAUCUGCGUUUUUCUCCGGCGGCUGCGGUGAUAGACUGUCUCCCGAGUCCCGGGUCGUGCCGGGAUCGUGGCCGGAGUGGUGCUUGUGAUCACUUGG
rnacentral:misc_RNA from 1 species